AGUCUCGAGGUGUUGACACAUUAGAUUGCAAAUCUUAAGUAGUGAACUAACGUUCGCCGGGGCUU
rnacentral:tRNA from 1 species